ACUGCCUCUAUAGGCAUUGCAGUUGUGGCUGCUGUGUCACAUGUGCAUCAGUAGGUGGCAGAGAGGAGAGAGGCUAUGUCUAUGCUUAGUGUUCUGACCUGUGAACAUCUCAAUGAUUGUUAGCCUAACAUU